GUUGGAAGAGAAAUAAUCAUGACACAAUAUUCCAGAUUUGUUCAGAUCUGUGCAAAGAAGGGAUCGGAGAAGAAAAAAUUCAAAAUGGGGCUGUGAAGUCAUAUGUCCACUCCUGAAACCAAAAGACUGGAGAGGGAGAAGCCGAGGUGGUAGCUGGUUAUACAAAACUAUAUCUGUUGUGUUUUUCGACAUUUUGUAGCCAGAUUUCACGAUAUUCGUUCUAGAUCUGAACUAGUUAUUUUUUAUGUUGAUUUUCGGUCAAAUCGCAAUGCCCAUGUGGUGGUCCUGACAGCAACGCAUGCAGUGACACGUGUAGUUCUGGGUGGUGGCAUCUCUGGUUGCAAACCAAUGAUUUUAUGCAUAUUCGUGUUUCCUUAUGAGUAAUUUUUUGUUUUGUUUUUGAAAGUACACAAUCUAGGAAUUUGGGAUAAUAUUCACAAAGUAUGAAAUUAAAAAGUUUGAUGGUGGAAUGAGUUUUAGUGUGUUGAAAAUUAAAAUAAAAUUAUUCUUAAUUUUAUAAGUUUUAUGGAGG
rnacentral:lncRNA from 1 species